GGUCUCAUUUGCAUGGGAGAGCCCCGCCCUCUCUCAGAGGAUGAAGAGGGGAAGGGAGAGAUGAAGGGAGGCUCUUCUCAGCUGAGGGGCCACUGAAGACAGGAUCCGUGAUGACCUCCACCAUGGGCUGGUCCCCUCUCCUCCUCACCCUCACUCACUGGACAGGUUCCUGGGCCCAGUCUGUGCUGACUCAGCCGGCCUCAGUGUCUGGGUCCCUGGGCCUGAGGGUCACCAUCUGCUGCACUGGAAGCAGCUCCAACAUCAGUAGUUAUUAUGUGGGCUGGUACCAACCACUCGCGGGAACAGGCCCCAGAACUGUCAUCUAUGAUAAUAGUAACCGUCCCUCGGGGGUCCCUGAUCAAUUCUCUGGCUCCAAGUCAGGCAGCACAGCCACCCUGACCAUCUCUCGGCUCCAGGCUGAGGACGAGGCUGAUUAUUACGGCUCAUCAUAUGACAGCAGUCUCAAUGCUGGCACAGUGCUCCAGGCCUGUGGGGAAGUGAGACAAAAACCUACUUAUCCAACUGCAAAGUGAGUGAGCGCCCCAGCAACUUCUUGCUUAGGCUCCCCCUGCAUUUCUGCUGAUUCUUCAGUUGAUGCCUUGAGCCCAGGUUCAUCUUGGGGACCUCCUGGGAAUGGCAUUUUCUUCAUCAUCUCUGACCUCAGAUUCUCUCAGAGUAGCCCAUUGUACACAGAGUGUGUCAAAGGAAAGAGAAAGUUUUGUCCUUGGGAUCAGGGACAGGUUGUUUUAGGCAAGUGUACAUUCACUUGCCAUCUUCUGAUUUCUAGUAAAAGAAAUGCUCUUAGGUCGUGAAGCUAUCAUGGUCCUUCAGCCUCAUCCCUGCUCUGCUGAUGCACAUGUCAGCUCUUUUUGCAGCUGGGAACAUUGUUGCUUUAGCUUCAACCAGAAGACGAGUUCUCUCACAGAAGUGCUUAUUUUGUGAUAACUCUUCCCUCCAUGUGGGAAGCUUUCAAAUCACAGACCCUGUAUCCAUGCUCUUUACAGCAGACCAUGCAGCGUGCUUCACCCAGUCCAUCAGGUCACUGGUGAGUGCUGGGGUCAUAGUUCUGGAUGUUACCUUCAGGACACUGAGAACCCUGAGGACCCUGAAAGAGACAUGUAAUCAGCAGGGGGCACUGUGCAUCCCCUGGGCCCUGCAGGGGGACCAUCACACCUGGGGAAAACCCACUUGGCCUCAGAGCUGGGCAGAGGCUGAGCUGCCCUCUGUGCCCCUGGUUAGACCCAGCAGCCUGGUUCCCUCAGAGCCUGGCAGAGGCUCCUGGGCAGGGUCCUGAGGGGUUCCCACAGAUGCUCCCUCCACCCUUCCUAUGUCCACUUUCAGCAGUACCUUCCUUCAGCAUCCUCUGUUCCUUGUUUUUCUGAAUCACUUACCAGGUGGAGUCUGAGAGAGACUGGAAGGGGUGACAAUUUGCAAAAAGAGCACUGUCAUUACCUGGAGACUGUAGGGAGAAAUAGACAAGCUUAACACAGCGCAGCUACAUUCUUGGGAUUUGUCAACAUGGCCUGGACUCCUCUCCUCCUCCGGUUCUUGUCUUUCUGCCCAGGGAGGGACAUCAUCUGUCUUCUGGGGGACCUUCCCUGAUAUUAUUUUCCCCUGGAAACUCCCACCAAAAAUGCCCCACCUCCUGGGAGUUCGUGUAUCUAGUUUCCCUGUCCCAGCCAGGGCUGGCCCAGCUGCCCCCCCACCUCCCUCUGCAUCUCCAGGAAUAACAGCCAGACUCACAUGAACCAUGAGCAGUGGCUUCAUUGUUGGCCGCUGCUACAUAUACUGAUUCCAACAGAAGCCAAGGAGCCCCCGCUCCACCAGUAUCUCCUGAUAUUCUACUCAGACUCAGAUAAGCACCAGGGCUCAACGUCCCCAGCCCUGCUCUGAAUCUGAAGACACCUCCGCGAAGCAGGGCUUCUGCUCAUCUCUGGGCUCAGCGUGAGGACAAGGCUGACUCUUACUGUACAAUCUGGCACAGUGGUCCUGGUCACAGGGACACACACAGAGGAAGACGUGGGGCACCAUCUCAGCCUGCCUAUGGCCUUGGACUUUGUCUCCCAAUUUAAGAUAACUUGAAUACACACUAAUUUUACUGGAAGUAGAUUCUGGAUCACAAUAUCCUUCCUCCUAGUUUUCUAUUUACCCCUUUCUGAAGACACAGAAGAAAUAAAAACUGAGAAGAAAUAGAUACAGAAAUAUUGUUAGUGAUCCAAAUUGAAAAACUAGCCUUGGUGUCCAUUGAAAGAUGAAUGGAUAAAGAAGCUGUGGUCUAUGUAUACAAUGGAAUAUUCCUCAGCCAUUAGCAAUAACAAACACCCAAACUUUUGCUUUGAUGUGGAGGGACUUGGAGGGUAUUAUGCUGAGUGAAGGAAGUCAACUGGAGAAGGACAAACAUCAUAUGGUCUCAUUCAUUUGGGGAAUAUAAAAUAUUAUAAAGGAUUAUAGGG